UUAAAACAAUUAACAUUAUUAUUAUUCAGCAUUAGCAAUUUAUAUAGCCAUUUGUUUUAAAACCAAAUAUAUAAUAGAAGAGUAUUAUUAGAAAACAGAUGACUGAUAAAACUACAAAUCUCAACAAUGGUUUAUUACAAUGCAUAUUUGAGUGUAAACAAUCAAUUAAAUGAAUUAGGAUGAUGUAGGAGAAUCAUCACCAAUUAUAAUUGUUUUAACCAGUUUUUCAAUACGUAUUAAUUUUUAUGCAAAGAAGGUUGAGAUGAAAAAUUAGUGUCACGUGCGGGACUCAGACCUUUGGCAUCCAGAUUAGUACCACGGUGCUCUACCACCGACUGAGCUGUGGUGAUUGGUCCCCAAUUGACAACUAUGUAUAUGUAUUUAAAUUUUACCUCUUAUUCCACCAUUCUCAAACAUUGUGAUUCGUGGCAUCAUAGCUGCACAACGAUGUAUAAAUUAGCAAUGGUAAAUUGAUGUGGGACCAUAAUUAAAUUGCAAUUAUAUUAGUUAUUUUAACUAGUAUAUAUUAAUUUUUAGCAAAGCGACUGAUGAUGACGACAUGGAGAAAAAUCAAACUCUCAGUUCUUCCAAAUAAAAAAAUAUCAACCUGAUAAACAAGUUAAAUUAAAUAAAUCCUGCAGUAAAUGCGUCAAAGGAAUUUGGCUUUGCUUAGCUUGCAGAUGAGGUGUAUCUAAAAGAUGUCAAUAUUUUAGAUAUGUUGAAUAAAUAAUAUAUAUUUGUUUUUAGUUGGUCCUAUUAUAAAAGCAAUUAUAUUAAUUGGUAUAUUAUUUUUUAUGCAAAGUGUGGUUGUCAAGCAGGGCUCAAACUCACAACAUCCAGAAAAUACCCCUGCACCCUACCAAUUUCCUUCUUUUUUGCUAAUAUUCAACGAUACUCACAUGAGAACCACACUUUGCGUAAAAAAUAAUAUAUCAAUUUAUUUGAAUAAAUAAUAAUGAUAUAUAAUAGAAUAUAAAAGAUAUGUUUGUUGAAGUAGUGAAGAGUGGUCAGGAAUGAUAAUGAUGCUCCACACCACUUCAACUAAUUAUUGAUCAACCGAUUUUGUAAAAAAAAAAAAAAAAA